UGGCUAUAGCUUUAUCAAAACAGGCUGAGUAGUGAACUGGCCGGUUGUUGUUUUGUUUGAGAUUUUAAUCAAGUCUCUAUUUCUAUAUCUACUUUUCGAACUUCUCACAUUU